rnacentral:rRNA from 1 species
CAGCGCCGUAAAGCGAUGAGUGCUAAAGUGUUAGGGGGUUUCCGCCCCUUAGUGCUGGCAGCUAANCGCAUUAAGCACUCCGGCNUGGGGGAGUACGGCCGCAAGGUUGAAACUCAAANGAAUUGAGCGGGGACCCGCACAAGCGGUGGAGCAUGUGGUNUAAUUNGAAGCAACGCGAAGAACCUUACCAAAUCUUGACAUCCUUUGACCGCUNUAGAGAUAGAGUUUUCCCCUUCGGGGGACAAAGUGACAGGUGGUGCAUGGUUGUCGUCAGCUCGUGUCGUGAGAUGUUGGGUUAAGUCCCGCAACGAGCGCAACCCUUAAGCUUAGUUGCCAUCAUUAAGUUGGGCACUCUAAGUUGACUGCCGGUGACAAACCGGAGGAAGGUGGGGAUGACGUCAAAUCAUCAUGCCCCUUAUGAUUUGGGCUACACACGUGCUACAAUGGACAAUACAAAGGGCAGCUAAACCGCGAGGUCAAGCAAAUCCCAUAAAGUUGUUCUCAGUUCGGAUUGUAGUCUGCAACUCGACUACAUGAAGCUGGAAUCGCUAGUAAUCGUAGAUCAGCAUGCUACGGUGAAUACGUUACCCGGGUCUUGUACACACCGCCCGUCACACCAGCGAGAGUUUGUAACACCCGAAGCCGGUGNANAAACCAUUGGGGGAG